rnacentral:rRNA from 1 species
GGAUAUCUCGGCUCCCGCAUCGAUGAAGAACGUAGCGAAAUGCGAUACUUGGUGUGAAUUGCAGAAUCCCGUGAACCAUCGAGUCUUUGAACGCAAGUUGCGCCCGAUGCCUUCAGGCUGAGGGCACGUCUGUUUGGGCGUCACGCAUCUCGUCAACGCCUC